CAGUAGCCACGGGAAUACGUAGGGUGCGAGCGUUAAUCGGAAUUACUGGGCGUAAAGCGUGCGUAGGCGGUUUGUUAAGUCUGUUGUGAAAUCCCCGGGCUCAACCUGGGAAUGGCAAUGGAUACUGGCAAGCUAGAGUGUGUCAGAGGAUGGUGGAAUUCCCGGUGUAGCGGUGAAACGCGUAGAGAUCGGGAGGAACAUCAGUGGCGAAGGCGGCCAUCUGGGACAACACUGACGCUGAGGCACGAAAGCGUGGGGAGCAAACAGGAUUAGAUACCCGCGUAGUCCCUGUCUCUUAUAA
rnacentral:rRNA from 1 species